rnacentral:rRNA from 1 species
UACAGAGGUCUCGAGCGUUUGUUCGGAUUCAUUGGGCGUAAAGGGUGCGUAGGUGGCGCUGUAAGUCGGGUGUGAAAUCCUGAGGCUUAACCUCGGAACUGCAUUCGAUACUGCGGCGCUUGAGGACUGGAGAGGAGACUGGAAUUCAUGGUGUAGCAGUGAAAUGCGUAGAGAUCAUGAGGAAGACCAGUGGCGAAGGCGGGUCUCUGGACAGUUCCUGACACUGAGGCACGAAGGCCCAGGGGAGCAAACGGG